UAAGGAAUAUUGGUCAAUGGACGCAAGUCUGAACCAGCCAUGCCGCGUGAAGGAUGAAGGUCCUCUGGAUUGUAAACUUCUUUUAUCUGGGACGAAAACGGGAUUUUUAUCUCAAUUGACGGUACCAGAGGAAUAAGCACCGGCUAACUCCGUGCCAGCAGCCGCGGUAAUACGGAGGGUGCGAGCGUUAUCCGGCUUUACUGGGUUUAAAGGGUGCGUAGGUGGGCUUAUAAGUCAGUGGUGAAAUCUCCGAGCUUAACUUGGAAGCUGCCGUUGAUACUAUAGGUCUUGAAUUAUCUGGAGGUAAGCGGAAUAUGUCAUGUAGCGGUGAAAUGCUUAGAUAUGACAUAGAACACCAAUUGCGAAGGCAGCUUACUACAUAUAAAUUGACGCUGAGGCACGAAAGCGUGGGGAUCAAACA
rnacentral:rRNA from 1 species